UGAAUACGAGAUGCUACGGCGUCGAAGCAGUCUAUGUCAUACUUCCAAGAAAAGCUUGCACUGUCAUAAACAAAUAAUGCCUGUACCAUAACCGACACAGGUGGGUAGGUAGAGUAUACUAAGGGGCGCGAGAUAACUCUCUCUAAGGAACUCGGCAAAAUGACUCCGUAACUUCGGGAGAAGGAGUGCCUUAUUUUAUAAGGUUGCAAUAACAAAAUCCAAGCAACUGUUUACCAAAAACACAGGUCUCCGCUAAGUCGUAAGACGAUGUAUGGGGGCUGACGCCUGCCCAGUGCCAGAAGGUUAAAGAAGUUGGUUAGCAUCCGCGAAGCUGAUAACUGAAGCCCUGGUGAACGGCGGCCGUAACCAUAACGGUCCUAAGGUAGCGAAAUUCCUUGUCGGGUAAGUUCCGACCCGCACGAAAGGCGUAAUGAUUUGGAUACUGUCUCAGAGAGGGGCUCGGUGAAAUAGACUUGUCUGUGAAGAUGCGGACUACCUGCACCAGGACAGAAAGACCCUAUGAAGCUUUACUGUAACUUGAAAUUGAAAUUGGACUUUACUUGCGCAGUAUAGGUGGAAGGCGUUGAGAAUAUUCUUGCGGGAAUGUUGGAGCCAUCAGUGAGAUACCACUCUUGUAAUGUUAGAUUUCUAACUUUGUAUCAUUAUCUGGUCAAAGGACAGUUUCAGGCGGGCAGUUUGACUGGGGCGGUCGCCUCCCAAACGGUAACGGAGGCGCACAAAGGUUUCCUCUGAACGGGUAGAAAUCGUAUCUCGAGUGUAAAGGCAUAAGGAAGCUUGACUGUGAGACCUACAAGUCGAGCAGGGACGAAAGUCGGUCUUAGUGAUCUGACGGUGCUGAGUGGAAAGGCCGUCACUCAACGGAUAAAAGUUACUCUAGGAUAACAGGCUGAUCUCCCCCAAGAGUUCACAUCGACGGGGAGGUUUGGCACCUCGAUGUCGGCUCAUCGCAUCCUGGGGCGGUAGUACGUCCCAAGGGUUGGGCUGUUCGCCCAUGAAAGCGGUACGCGAGCUGGGUUCAGAACGUCGUGAGACAGUUCGGUCCAUAUCCGGUGUAGGCGUUAGAAUAUUGAGAGGAGCCUUCUUUAGUACGAGAGGACCGAGAAGGACAUACCUCUGGUGUACCAGUUAUCGUGCCAACGGUAAACGCUGGGUAGCUAUGUAUGGAGUGGAUAACCGCUGAAAGCAUCUAAGUGGGAAGCCCACCUCAAGAUAAGUAUUCUCGU
rnacentral:rRNA from 1 species